CCGGAUGUAGUGUAGUUUGGUAGCACGCUUGCCUUGGGCGCAAGUAGUCACAGGUUCGAGUCCUGUCAUUCGGA
rnacentral:tRNA from 1 species